CUGUUUUUCUCCUUUCCUUUUGCAUAUUAUCCUGAAAACAUAACAUCACUUUGGGUCAGUAGGGGUAUGCACUUCACUUGUUAGGAGUUAAAAUUAUAGCUGAUAAGUGGAUUACUGUAUCAAGGAAAGACUAGGCAGAGUGAUUAUAAAUGACAAAAACAUGGUCAAAACAUUUCUCAGAUGUAUGCAGAUGAUAAUUACAGAAAUAGUUUUAUAAAGAAUGAUCUUACAUAUUGUCAUGUUUCUAGGAACAAGUCAGAUGAAUGGCUUUCAUUUUUAAACAGAGGUAGUAUGUGUUGGUCUCAGUUAUGCAUGGAGCUUAUGGAAUUAUUUGUUACUCAGAAAUACCUUCUUUACAAGUAAUGUUGGUAAGUAUAGGAAAAGGAACAAAAUGUGUACUGUUUUCUUUGUGAUCUGUGUUUCUUCGUAUAACUAUAGACAUGUUUUAACCUUAAGAGAGACAAAAUAGACUGAACAGAUUUACAUUUAGGCUUUCUUUCAAACUCAUACAAAUUAUUUUUAGGGGUUGGUGAUUCAUGGGUGUUGUUGUGUCUCAUAUGAACUUAUCU
rnacentral:lncRNA from 1 species